GCAGGUGUGAACCGCCCCAGGUAACAAGUUGACUUGAGACAGACGAAGGCGGCUUUGGAUGCUGAACUUCCCAUCUGGGCCUCUGCUGGGUUGACUGGUGUUAAAGUCCGGCAGCUCAUUGGUGUCAUCCAGAAACCAGGAGACGUUAACGGACGCGGGACUGAAGCCAAACACCAGACACACCAGUUCACCACGACCCUGGAGCAAGAUGGCUGACGGUUGAGUAGGAGUCACUGUGGCUGUGGAGAUGAAAGUUGUAAGGAAGGCAAGACCCAGAAGACGUGUACCAAGACAAGUCACACAGACCACCUAUCUGUACGAGUUGGGUGGUCCUGGUGACGUAUGUGGAGUUUACAGGGUUGUCAUCGACAAGCCAAGACACCAGAACCUCUUGGGGGAAGAAGUCUUUCACUAAGCAAGUCAGGGUAACCAUGUUUUUAUCAGUUUGUUCCACUGGAGGCAUCAUAAACACCGCAGGAUUUUGAGUUGAUUUACCUGCAAGUGCGACAGAACAACAUUUGACCACAGGAAGUAUUAUCAAACAGUUACAGUUUUCUUACCAGCAGUUCUUUUAUAGGAUUUCUUCACUGGGUUCGCAAUCUUUGAAUGCUUCACCACGCAGUUGCGCGCUAUCCCUGUGCUCCAUUCGUCAUACGUGAUGUCAAGUCGGGUCUCAAAUGGGCCCGAAUCGUUCUCCGGGGUGCUUUUCAAGGUCCCGGCCAUCUCGUUACCAUCUUGGUCCUCCCACAAAAUACUCUGCACUGAUAGCCUGCUAGCUUUGACCUGACAUAUCACGGUGCCUUUUUUGUUCAAAAAGAUGUCCUCCAUUGUGGGGCCGCUGAUCUGUAUAUCGACAUCCGCCUCCGGGCAUCCUUCGCCUGUUGAAUGGACAGGAAGUCUUUUUCAAGGUCGUUGUGUGAUUUACAUUGAGUGUGUUGCAUUUUAGCCCGCGUUCACACUAGUUGUUCAGACCAAAAUAUAUGCAUUGAAAGACUUGAUUGGACACUUUUAUGAACCUAACUCAAUUAUUUCAAACCAAAAAUAGUUGUUUUUUUUAGACUUUGCUAUUUUUACCAGCUUAUUUGUACUAGGGCAGUUAAAUCAUGUGAUUAAUCACAACAGUGCAUUAAGCAUGGGUGCAUGCAUAUUAAUUACACAUUUUAUUUUGAGCACACAUGUUCCUUGACUUUAAAUGCAGAUGGUUACCUGAAAGAUGGCAUACUUUUUUUGUUGUACCGCAAACGUAUUGCACCCAAUUCCUGAUGAUUGAUUCACACCAAUUUUAGCAAAUUAUUUUUUGGCGUUGAAAUAUAAUUAAACUAAUGCUGUUAAAUGUAACAAUUUAACUCAUGUGAAUCAUCAACCAAAGAAUUGCAUUAAUCAUGCGUAUACACAGAUUAAUCACACAAUUUAUUUUGACCGCACAUGCUCCUUUACCUUUACCGUGAAUUUUUACCUGAAAGAUGCGUGGGUUGGUGUAUUCAUGGAGAGAGAUGAGUGAGAGGACUCCGACUGGUGUGCUCUCUGGCAUUUUUAAUUUCAGAAAUACACCCUACAUACAGCAACAUUUUAAAAUGUUGCUGUUUGUCAUUGUCAUGUUAAAAAAUACAUUUGUGCCCAAUUUCGGGGGCCUUUUUAGGGUCAUUUAAAUAACGCAAGCAGGUAAAAAGUUAUAUUUCAUUCCAAUUCAAAAGUGGGAUUAAUUAGAUUUGAAUAAUUAAUCAUUUGACUUCACUAAUUUUUACAGACACCGUGUUGUCACACACAGAGUUUUACAUAUUUGUAAUUUUUGCAUGCUUUGUUUGCAAUCAGUUUGAUUUAACCAAAGUGUGAACACAGCCUAAAAUAAACAAAUGGAAAAGUACUCACUUGAUGAAUCUGCGGCGCGCAUGUUGCUCACAGAUGAGUUGAUAUACACAUCUCCAUGUGCGUCCCUCCCCGUAAACUUGCACCUUACAGUGGUGCCAGAUGACCACUCGUUGGACUUGAGCGUGAUGAGGGUCGCCGCGCUGUAAAGCGUUGUCCCAUUUGCAGUCUUUCUGGCCUUAGACAAAGUUAUGACCUGCUCUAUUUCGUGGGAGAUGUCCUCUUCGUUAUGCAGCCAUUUGAAGUCAUAAACAUUUGGGGAAAAAUCUUUGGCAAAGCAGACGAUUGAAGCCUCAUCUUGACCAUGAGAGGAGGCCAACACUUUCAGAGUUGGCAACUUGUAAAAGGACUCUGAAACACGAACAUAUUAAGUAUAUGUCUGCACAACACAUAUAUAUACACAACACAAAACGUCAUUUGAAUGCUAAUUCUCAUGGCUUCUGCAGGGUCGACACUACUAAAACAGCAAGAUUAGAUCGUACACAACCUGCAUGUGAGACAAGCAAGCGUAGAUUAAACAAAAAGCAAGCAAUAAACUGCUGCAACAAUUAUUUGACAAGGCAGAGUAAGCAGCUGCACAAGGAAGAGUCAGACCUUUCUUUCCACCUUACUGUUGGCUUUAGCACCAACAAUAACAUUUGUAUGGAUAGUAUGAAAUGUGCAAUUUUCAGGUAAACGUGUUGUGUGUAAACAUUGUUUUACAUAAAAAAAAUCAUCUAAUUCUAAUUACCCCGUUCCAGAUAUUUACACAAAACAGUUUUUGCAGUUUUUAACAUCACUUUUACCUUUUAGGAGGACUACUGACAAGGAUGAGCUACUAGCAGCGUGGUGCAUUUAGUGACAGUCUAGAAAUACUUUUUCUAGGGCUCUUGUUUGACUUUUACUGUACACUAAAACUUAAUUUGGUUCAAUAGUGGGUUAUUUUGUGUAGAAUACAAAAUAACCCACUUUGAAUCAUACUAAAACUGGGGAAUCUGAAAACCAGUAUAUUUUUUUUAAACGACUUCAAAUACACCAAAUCCAAAUAUACUACAAACGUGA